UACAAAACAAAGAACAGAAGAGUACCUUUAUUUUUUCUAAAAGAGAGUCUUUGGCUGGUGGAAAAAGACAAAAAAAUAAAGCGAACCACAUCUGGGAGUUAACUUUUUGAAUGGAUUAGUAGGAAAGUUCGGGUAUGCCCGUUACAGCUUUAGAAGUCUAUGACUUCAUGAGGUUAUCGUUGCGAGACGAUAAUGAAAAAAGGUGGAACCACGAUUUUACGUCCUUUGG
rnacentral:ncRNA from 1 species